UUUACCCGAGACCACUCCUAAUCAAUUAUUACGUGUUCCAGCUCCUACAGCACCGUUUCCUCCCUGCUUCAGCCACCUCUCCCCUCAACUCCUGAAGCAACUGCCUCUGUCGGCGAUCCAAGAUUGCGGUGACGCAACACCCCACGGCCGGUUUCUCUUCCAAAAAAGAAAGUGGCUUUGAAAUGAAAGUGGACAAGGGGAGAGUUAUGCUUACAAUCAGCAGCACUUAACCUUUCGCAGCCGCUUGCCAUCUAAGGAAGAUUGGAUUCUUGGACUACUAACAACAUUUUGAGCUUAAUCCCCGCGCUGUGUCUUCCUAGGGAUACUUUCACCCACAUCGCCAGCGCAAACAUCAGUGCAGGGUAAAUAUUAGUGUUUUGCAAUGCAAGUUCAGAUAAUCACGGGAAUGAGCUGCAUGUUUCCACCUAAUUAUUGUUAAGCCUCCAUUUCAAGUCAAAGCGCCUGGCUAUAAAGGAUGCCUGCUUUGUGGCCAGACACCCUCUCUUUUUGUGUGUGUAAGAGCUGAAGCAAAGAGAUAUCAGUUCCCCAUCAUAAAUGCUACACACAACUUCUUCCAAAAGGCACAGGAAAGCAGUUUUAAAACAUAGAAACCUUAAAAGCGAAGCGCCGCAAAGCUACAGACGCACAGGUGAAACGGGUGCAGACUAGCAAUCCCAGUGCCAAGAGAUGCUGCCUGCUCCUUAACAGCUCUCCUUGCUGAUGAGACGAUCCUUCCCGGCAAGGACGUUACUUCCCUGCUGUAAAAUCACUACAAAGUCAAGAAUUCAGCAGCAAUGCUCUCCAAGGACUGAAGCUGCAGUGCAAUUUUUACUGAUCUGCACUCUCUCAAGCUCACCCCUUACAGUUCCUUUAAUUCCUGUAAUUAUUUGUGGGUGUGCUCAAUUCUGCAAGGACUGUAUUGGAGGUCUUCCUGGGAUGCCCUGGUACCUAAACACAUCAAUCUUUUAAAAAAGGCCAAAAAAAAGAGCAAAGCAAACUCCCAGUAAGAUCAGUUCUC